AGGCCCCUGCCCAGGAGGAGAGCCGCGGAGGGGGCGCCCGCGGUCGCACGGAGGGUUUAACGCCGCCCCCAGCGGCUGGGGUGCAUUCUGUGUCAAAGGGUUCAUGCCUCUGAAAAGAUGAUUUAGGAGGAGGGCGAGACGGCGGAAGAGCGCGGUCCCCAGUCACCUCCCCACCAAAUUACCGAGACGACCUUCACCUCAUCCUGAAAAUCUACGAAUUCGGCCUGAGAAUUAAAGAGAGACCAGGGAAUGCUACAGUGAGAAGAGUUCGCGCUUCUAUCCAGAAAGAACUAAACUCAGGAGGCAAAGAACAGUUUUAUGUGAUUUGCACACCUGAUGCUCUUACAGUAUCCAAAAAACAUGACAAGAGCUUUCUCCUUCUAACUGUAAUUUCUUCUAAAACCUGCAUUGCAACCAUAUCACAAAUGCCAACCCUCAGGAAUAAAGCCAUCAUCCUAAACUUGUAUUGGUGAGAAGAAUUUGUCUGUGGAAUCUUUUUAGUUAACCAAAUUUUCUACAAAUAUUUCUCGUAGGAAUGGAAGUGCAACAGGCAGAUCCCCUGGUUGCCAACAGUAGCAGUUGACGCUAAGUAGCCACAGGAGGAGUUCACUGCAAAGACCCUGGUUAUCUCACAGUCUCCAUGGGCCACCCUGAUGGUCGCUUGGGUCUCCUCCUCCUGCCAAUACAGCUCCAAACGAAUCUGGUGCUGAAACUUCUUUACAACGGUCACCCUUCAGCUCCUCGUUGUCCUCUACGGAGAACCCCCAGGGAAGCAUGCAGGGCCACACAACGAGUCCAGAGCUGAUCUACAAAGAAACGCCACUAUCUCCUGAUCCCCCCUGUAUGUUGUGCAGCGACACAGGAACCUGGAGCAGAGGCGGGUGGACCUCAGAAAUGCUACACUUCGGUCGCCACCUCUGGCACAUGUGCACGUGAAGACCACCUCCCGUACCGUGACAUGACGUGGGUCCAGCCAUGAGCGCCAGCAACCGACGGGCCGCCAGCCUAGGGGGUCCACGUCACCAGCUCCCAUUUCUCCCAGUCCUGCCCUAACUGGCCACUGCCAAUCACCCUGGCUCCAAUUUGUAUUCCAUUAUUUAUGCCUCCUGCUCUUAUGGGUAAUUGUACUCUUCCCGUAGAUUCUUCGCAGAGGUUGCCCGUGGCCUGUAUUUUGCAGCUGAGACUGAUGGCCUUCCGGUUCAGAAGAAGCCAUCCUUGAACAGAGAAGUUAAGACACGACAGAGAACAGACGUGGGGGCCAAAGCAAGAGCUAGAACACUGGGCAGGGAGCGGGCCAACUGCAGGACUUAUCUCUAGAAAAGGACACCACCACCCAUGAUGCGAUGAAAGGGCCGUGAGAUACGGAUUGAGCACCCGUCCCAUGCCAGCAAGCGCUUAGGCCCCGGCGAUGGGAGCAGCGCGCUAAGGAACGUCGGAGAACAGGAUGCGCCCAGAACGUGAUACAAAGCACGCCAGUGAGGGAAGCAGGUCCUCAACCGGUGGAACCUUGGGGAAGUCCUGGGGCUAUGCAGUAACUAAGAAACUCCUAGAAAGUGGGACAAAGGAGGACUUGGUUAUCAAGCUUUUUCACACAUUUGAUUAGUUACCAUGCACGCAUUCUACUUGCAUUAAAAUAGGCUUUAAAAGAAAAAGGAUGCCAAGUGGAAACUAGUCAUUACCUGCUUUUGUUCACAGAGGGAGCUGUUCCACCGACUCGGCUGAUGUAGUGUGAGGCGUUAAGGAGGGAAAAGGUACAGAGCUGACCGGGGAUGCGGUGUUGAGCGUCAAUGUUGGGUUUUUUUUGUUGUUGGUUUUUUUUUUUUUUUAAGAUUUUAUUUAUUUAUUAAUGAGAGACAGAGACACUGGCCAAGGGAGAAGCAGGCUCCAUGCAGGGAGCCCGACGUGGGACUCGAUCCGGGGUCUCCAGGAUCACACCCUGGGCUGAAGGCGGCGCUAAACUGAUAGCCACCUGGGCUGCCCUAUGGUGACGUUUAUAGAUGAAUAAUUCACACUUUCCAUCCACCCCAAAAAAGCUACUUUCAGCCUUUUUGACCUGACUUCUUCCCGAGCUCUCUGGGCAGGUAGCCCCAGUCAGUAGAGACCAACGCGUACCCCUGUGGAGGCUACACAUCCCCAAAGUCCCUAAAACACCGAGCCAUGGGGCUUCACUCCUAUGUCAGAUGGGUUAGUUUCAUUUUAAGUUUAAAGAAAAUUUUUUUCUUCACUUUACACCUCUUUGAGUACUUGGCAAAAAGAAAAAGAAGCCAAGAACGGGAUCGUGUUUAGCACCAUCAGUUUUUUGGGUUUUUUUUUUUUUUUUUUUUUUCUGAUCAUUUCUAGAAGUCUUACCGAAAUGAGAAACUCAUCAAGAUGCUACAAAGUAAGAUAAAACUGCGAUCACAGCACUCCGCGACAGGUCCGGGAACUUCCACAAAGACGAAUAAAUUCACAGCGUGGGCUCAGGCACGUGAUGGAGCUCGCCAAGCAAGACUCGAGAGAAUGAACCGAGCGGCAACACAGCUAUCAAGAAAGGAAGCGGCUUGCCUGGAAUCUCUCUCCUGCCCUGGCGUCCUCAAAACCCCGCUGAAUCCUUCAAGAUCCAGUUCAGAUGUCACCACCCCCACGAAGCCCCUCUUUAUCUCCUCAACCUUGGGCCUCUCCCUCCACCCAACCUCUCAUGCUUGCCUGCCUCUGAGGCUUAAACUAUUCUCUGCCUUUAUUAAAGCUACUGCAUGCUUCUCUUCACUUUCCUAAUAAUAUUUAUACAUUUUGAAGGCAGGGGCUGAGGACACACUCCCUUUCCACGCAGUUCAAGAACUGACGCAUGGUAAGAACUCCCUAAAAACUCUUUGAGUGACCAGUCGGAGCCAACAACCAAGAAGAGGGCCGGGAAGGGCUGGGGACGUGGCGGCCUGUGACUCCACCUCGGUCCUGUCCGUCAUGAAGACUGCUAUCUUCCCGACCAGUCACACCUACGAAGGCAAGAGAUGGAUGGAUUCACUUAUCCUGACCUCGUUGCUCAGCUAAGUCAAAGCUGCACGGUUUACUUUUAGUCCAACAUUUGUUUCAGUGUCGUGUAAUUCCAACAAACUCAAUGGACUCCAAAGGCAGUGUAAGAAGGAAGUCUUAGAUUUGAAAUUUAUAAGCGAUGGCAAAAUACAGGGGCCCUGUUUACACUUUUAUAUAAAAAUCUUAUACAGAAAUAUAUAUUUUUCUUUAUGCAAUAAAAUAAAUAUGACAGGUUUUUUGUUUUUCUAUCAUAAGGAAGUCGAAAGAGAUUGGAUUGGAGGCAGAGAACGAAGAAAAUGAAGAAAAGAAGGACCUGGCUUUUUCCAACUCCAUUCGGGAAAAAAUUCACUUACUCUUACAAGAUAUUAACUUAGUUUUCAAAUAGAGUAAAUGCCUGUGACAUAUUUCUGGAUUGUGGGUUAGAUGCCACUUAAAUCUCAGCAAAUAGAGACAGAUUACUUUUAUUACUGACACACCAGCAGCAUUCUGGAAAGAACAGAGCUACCAGAGGCUUAAAAUCUUGAGAAAGACUCCCAAACAGGACACGUUUCCUUGGAAAAUACCAUGAGUGAGGCUUUCAGCCAGAACAAAGAAUUCUUCCAAUGAGUAAUAACACCUUUGCAGAUUAACAUGACAUUACAAACCAGAAGGGCAGGUUUUUACCAGCUGCACAGAAUGAUAACUACUGCAUUUCAGGCAGUUUGCUCCUUCACAAAGGAGAAAUGAACCCUUUAAAAAAUUCUUUAAUGUUACGCCUUUAGAAAUGCACUAUAUUCUUAUUUAGUGUUUUUAACAUAACGUGUUCCAGGUUCUGUGGGAAAACAUAAACCAAGUUACCGUUCUUAGCUUUCUUUUUUUUUUUUUUUUUUUUUUUUUUUCCAGUUCAGGCCUGUUAGGAUAAGGUAAAGUGGGAGCAUGGGGGAGAGAUCCUCAGGCACCACUAUACCUGCUUCUCAGACCAAGGACUGUUAACCCCCAUCUGACGGGUUUUGAUUAAGAGUCACCUUUACCCUGUAAGUGACGAAUCUAGAAGGAAAAAUCCCUUUUAGUCAUCUAAAAGUAAAAUGUUUAGAGACGCCCGGGCGGCUCUGCAGUGGGGCGCCUGCCUUUGGCCCAGGGCAUGACCCCGGGGUCCCGGGAUGGAGUCCCGUGUUGGGCCCCCUGCGUGGGGCCUGCUUCUCCCUCGGUCUGUGUCCCUGCCUCUCUCUGUGUGUUGCU